rnacentral:rRNA from 1 species
GGGUUGUGAGGUUAAGCGACUAAGCGUACACGGUGGAUGCCUAGGCAGUCAGAGGCGAUGAAGGGCGUGCUAAUCUGCGAAAAGCGUCGGUAAGCUGAUAUGAAGCGUUAUAACCGACGAUACCCGAAUGGGGAAACCCAGUGCAAUACGUUGCACUAUCGUUAGAUGAAUACAUAGUCUAACGAGGCGAACCGGGGGAACUGAAACAUCUAAGUACCCCGAGGAAAAGAAAUCAACCGAGAUUCCCCCAGUAGCGGCGAGCGAACGGGGAGGAGCCCAGAGUCUGAAUCAGUUUGUGUGUUAGUGGAAGCGUCUGGAAAGUCGCACGGUACAGGGUGAUAGUCCCGUACACCAAAAUGCACAGGCUGUGAACUCGAUGAGUAGGGCGGGACACGUGACAUCCUGUCUGAAUAUGGGGGGACCAUCCUCCAAGGCUAAAUACUCCUGACUGACCGAUAGUGAACCAGUACCGUGAGGGAAAGGCGAAAAGAACCCCGGCGAGGGGAGUGAAAUAGAACCUGAAACCGUGUACGUACAAGCAGUGGGAGCACCUUCGUGGUGUGACUGCGUACCUUUUGUAUAAUGGGUCAGCGACUUAUAUUUUGUAGCAAGGUUAACCGAAUAGGGGAGCCGUAGGGAAACCGAGUCUUAACUGGGCGUCUAGUUGCAAGGUAUAGACCCGAAACCCGGUGAUCUAGCCAUGGGCAGGUUGAAGGUUGGGUAACACUAACUGGAGGACCGAACCGACUAAUGUUGAAAAAUUAGCGGAUGACUUGUGGCUGGGGGUGAAAGGCCAAUCAAACCGGGAGAUAGCUGGUUCUCCCCGAAAGCUAUUUAGGUAGCGCCUCGUGAACUCAUCUUCGGGGGUAGAGCACUGUUUCGGCUAGGGGGCCAUCCCGGCUUACCAAACCGAUGCAAACUCCGAAUACCGAAGAAUGUUAUCACGGGAGACACACGGCGGGUGCUAACGUCCGUCGUGAAGAGGGAAACAACCCAGACCGCCAGCUAAGGUCCCAAAGUCAUGGUUAAGUGGGAAACGAUGUGGGAAGGCACAGACAGCCAGGAUGUUGGCUUAGAAGCAGCCAUCAUUUAAAGAAAGCGUAAUAGCUCACUGGUCGAGUCGGCCUGCGCGGAAGAUGUAACGGGGCUAAACCAUGCACCGAAGCUGCGGCAGCGACACUUAGGUGUUGUUGGGUAGGGGAGCGUUCUGUAAGCCGUUGAAGGUGACCUGUGAGGGUUGCUGGAGGUAUCAGAAGUGCGAAUGCUGACAUAAGUAACGAUAAUGCGGGUGAAAAACCCGCACGCCGGAAGACCAAGGGUUCCUGUCCAACGUUAAUCGGGGCAGGGUGAGUCGACCCCUAAGGCGAGGCUGAAAAGCGUAGUCGAUGGGAAACAGGUUAAUAUUCCUGUACUUGGUGUUACUGCGAAGGGGGGACGGAGAAGGCUAGGCUGGCCGGGCGACGGUUGUCCCGGUUUAAGCGUGUAGGGGGAGUGACCAGGUAAAUCCGGUUGCUUAUCAACCCUGAGGCGUGAUGACGAUGCACUACGGUGCAGAAGCAGUUGAUGCCAUGCUUCCAGGAAAAGCCUCUAAGCAUCAGGUAACAUUAAAUCGUACCCCAAACCGACACAGGUGGUCAGGUAGAGAAUACUCAGGCGCUUGAGAGAACUCGGGUGAAGGAACUAGGCAAAAUGGUGCCGUAACUUCGGGAGAAGGCACGCUGGCGUUAGGUGAAAGGACUAGCUCCUGGAGCUGAAGCCAGUCGCAGAUACCAGCUGGCUGCAACUGUUUAAUAAAAACACAGCACUGUGCAAACACGAAAGUGGACGUAUACGGUGUGACGCCUGCCCGGUGCUGGAAGGUUAAUUGAUGGGGUCAGCCGCAAGGCGAAGCUCUUGAUCGAAGCCCCAGUAAACGGCGGCCGUAACUAUAACGGUCCUAAGGUAGCGAAAUUCCUUGUCGGGUAAGUUCCGACCUGCACGAAUGGCGUAAUGAUGGCCAGGCUGUCUCCACCCGAGACUCAGUGAAAUUGAACUCGCUGUGAAGAUGCAGUGUACCCGCGGCAAGACGGAAAGACCCCGUGAACCUUUACUAUAGCUUGACACUGAACAUUGAGCCUUGAUGUGUAGGAUAGGUGGGAGGCCUUGAAGUGUGGACGCCAGUCUGCAUGGAGCCAACCUUGAAAUACCACCCUUUAAUGUUUGAUGUUCUAACUCGGCCCCAUGAUCUGGGGUGAGGACAGUGUCUGGUGGGUAGUUUGACUGGGGCGGUCUCCUCCCAAAGAGUAACGGAGGAGCACGAAGGUUAGCUAAUCACGGUCGGACAUCGUGAGGUUAGUGCAAAGGCAUAAGCUAGCUUGACUGCGAGAGUGACGGCUCGAGCAGGUACGAAAGUAGGUCUUAGUGAUCCGGUGGUUCUGAAUGGAAGGGCCAUCGCUCAACGGAUAAAAGGUACUCCGGGGAUAACAGGCUGAUACCGCCCAAGAGUUCAUAUCGACGGCGGUGUUUGGCACCUCGAUGUCGGCUCAUCACAUCCUGGGGCUGAAGUAGGUCCCAAGGGUAUGGCUGUUCGCCAUUUAAAGUGGUACGCGAGCUGGGUUUAGAACGUCGUGAGACAGUUCGGUCCCUAUCUGCCGUGGGCGUUGGAAGAUUGAGAGGGGCUGCUCCUAGUACGAGAGGACCGGAGUGGACGAAUCACUGGUGUUCGGGUUGUCAUGCCAAUGGCAUUGCCCGGUAGCUAAAUUCGGAAGAGAUAACCGCUGAAAGCAUCUAAGCGGGAAACUUGCCUCGAGAUGAGUCUUCCCUGGGGCUUUAAGCCCCCUGAAGGAACGUUAAAGACUAUGACGUUGAUAGGCUGGGUGUGUAAGUGCAGCGAUGUAUUGAGCUAACCAGUACUAAUGAUCCGUGAGGCUUAACCUUACAACACCGAAGGUGUUU